rnacentral:rRNA from 1 species
GACGAACACUGGCGGCGUGCCUAAUACAUGCAAGUAGAACGCUGAAGCUUGGUGCUUGCACCGAGCGGAUGAGUUGCGAACGGGUGAGUAACGCGUAGGUAACCUGCCUGGUAGCGGGGGAUAACUAUUGGAAACGAUAGCUAAUACCGCAUAAGAGUAGAUGUUGCAUGACAUUUGCUUAAAAGGUGCAAUUGCAUCACUUCCAGAUGGACCUGCGUUGUAUUAGCUAGUUGGUGAGGUAACGGCUCACCAAGGCAACGAUACAUAGCCGACCUGAGAGGGUGAUCGGCCACACUGGGACUGAGACACGGCCCAGACUCCUACGGGAGGCAGCAGUAGGGAAUCUUCGGCAAUGGACGGAAGUCUGACCGAGCAACGCCGCGUGAGUGAAGAAGGUUUUCGGAUCGUAAAGCUCUGUUGUAAGGGAAGAACGAGUGUGAGAGUGGAAAGUUCACACUGUGACGGUAUCUUACCAGAAAGGGACGGCUAACUACGUG